GGCCUGAUGGUCUAGUAGUAUGAUUCCUUGUUAGGGAGCAUCAGCUCAUUUCGAGGAGGUCCCGGGUUCAAUUCCCGGUCAGGCCC